GACGAACGCUGGCGGCGUGCUUAACACAUGCAAGUCGAACGGAAAGGCCCUGCUUUUGUGGUGUGCUCGAGUGGCGAAAGGGUGAGUAACACGUGAAUAACCUGCCCUUGACUUUGGGAUAACUUCAGGAAACUGGGGCUAAUACCGGAUAGGAGCUCCUGCUGCAUGGUGGGGGUUGGAAAGUUUCGGCGGUUGGGGAUGGACUCGCGGCUUAUCAGCUUGUCGGUGGGGUAGUGGCUUACCAAGGCUUUGACGGGUAGCCGGCCUGAGAGGGUGACCGGCCACAUUGGGACUGCGAUACGGCCCAGAAUCCUACGGGAGGCAGCAGUGGGGAAUAUUGCCCAAUGGGAGGAAGCCUGAUGCAGCAACGCCGCCUGCGGGAUGACGGCCUUCGGGUUGUAACCCGCUUUCGCCUGUGACGAAGCGUGAGUGACGGUAAUGGGUAAAGAAGCACCGGCUAACUACGUG
rnacentral:rRNA from 1 species